GCCACCGUAGCUCAACGGCAGAGCACCGCUUUCGUAAAGCGGGGGUUAUGAGUUCGAGUCUCAUCGGUGGCU
rnacentral:tRNA from 1 species